AUGUUUACCUACUGGAGAAAACGUCUAGUGCUUCUUCUAUUCAGGUACGACUUUGUUCUUGAUUUCUUCUUGAUUCACACUUCUUCUACGUUCCUCUUUGUGAUGCGUUCUGUGAGGAUAUUUUUCUUCCUUCUUCUGACUUUCUACGCGUAUGAUCUUCUUGAUUCUGUGUAUUUGUUGCGUUGGAGAUGA